rnacentral:rRNA from 1 species
AGAGUUUGAUCCUGGCUCAGGAUGAACGCUGGCGGCGUGCUUAACACAUGCAAGUCGAGCGAAGCACUAAAACAGAUUUCUUCGGAUUGAAGUUUUAGUGACUGAGCGGCGGACGGGUGAGUAACGCGUGGGUGACCUGCCUCAUACAGGGGGAUAACAGACAGAAAUGUCUGCUAAUACCGCAUAAGCGCACAGUGCUGCAUGGCACAGUGUGAAAAACUCCGGUGGUAUGAGAUGGACCCGCGUCUGAUUAGCUAGUUGGUAAGGUAACGGCUUACCAAGGCGACGAUCAGUAGCCGGCCUGAGAGGGUGAACGGCCACAUUGGGACUGAGACACGGCCCAAACUCCUACGGGAGGCAGCAGUGGGGAAUAUUGCACAAUGGGGGAAACCCUGAUGCAGCGACGCCGCGUGAGUGAAGAAGUAUUUCGGUAUGUAAAGCUCUAUCAGCAGGGAAGAAAAUGACGGUACCUGACUAAGAAGCCCCGGCUAACUACGUGCCAGCAGCCGCGGUAAUACGUAGGGGGCAAGCGUUAUCCGGAAUUACUGGGUGUAAAGGGUGCGUAGGUGGCAUGGUAAGUCAGAAGUGAAAGCCCGGGGCUUAACCCCGGGACUGCUUUUGAAACUGUCAUGCUGGAGUGCAGGAGAGGUAAGCGGAAUUCCUAGUGUAGCGGUGAAAUGCGUAGAUAUUAGGAGGAACACCAGUGGCGAAGGCGGCUUACUGGACGGUAACUGACGUUGAGGCUCGAAAGCGUGGGGAGCAAACAGGAUUAGAUACCCUGGUAGUCCACGCC